rnacentral:rRNA from 1 species
CCUACGGGAGGCAGCAGUGGGGAAUUUUGGACAAUGGGCGCAAGCCUGAUCCAGCCAUGCCGCGUGCGGGAAGAAGGCCUUCGGGUUGUAAACCGCUUUUGUCAGGGAAGAAAUCCUUUGAACUAAUACUUCGGAGGGAUGACGGUACCUGAAGAAUAAGCACCGGCUAACUACGUGCCAGCAGCCGCGGUAAUACGUAGGGUGCGAGCGUUAAUCGGAAUUACUGGGCGUAAAGCGUGCGCAGGCGGUUGUGCAAGACAGGUGUGAAAUCCCCGGGCUUAACCUGGGAACUGCACUUGUGACUGCACAGCUGGAGUGCGGCAGAGGGGGAUGGAAUUCCGCGUGUAGCAGUGAAAUGCGUAGAUAUGCGGAGGAACACCGAUGGCGAAGGCAAUCCCCUGGGCCUGCACUGACGCUCAUGCACGAAAGCGUGGGGAGCAAACAGGAUUAGAUACCCUGGUAGUCCACGCCCUAAACGAUGUCAACUGGUUGUUGGACGGCUUGCUGUUCAGUAACGAAGCUAACGCGUGAAGUUGACCGCCUGGGGAGUACGGCCGCAAGGUUGAAACGUCAAAUGAAUUGACGG